rnacentral:rRNA from 1 species
CCCUUAGACGUUCUGGGCCGCACGCGUGCUACACUGACCAGUGCAACAAGCAUCCGUCCUUGGCCGACAGGCUCGGGCAAUCUUUGAACGCUGGUCGUGAUGGGGAUAGACUUUUGCAAUUUUUGGUCUUCAACGAGGAAUUCCUAGUAAACGCAAGUCAUCAACUUGCAUUGAUUACGUCCCUGCCCUUUGUACACACCGCCCGUCGCACCUACCGAUUGAAUGGUCCGGUGAAGCCUCCGGAUUGGCGCGCACCUCGGUGCCGCCGAGAAGUUGGCUAAACCUUACCAUUUAGAGGAAGGUGAANUCGUAACA